GACGAACGCUGGCGGCGCGCUUAACACAUGCAAGUCGAACGGAAAGGCCUGCUUUCCCUUGUGGAUUGCGGGUACUCGAGUGGCGAACGGGUGAGUAACACGUGAGUGAUCUGCCCCCAACUUGGGUAUAAGCCUGGGAAACUGGGUCUAAUUCCCGAUAGGACUGCAGGGUGGUGCCUGUGGUGGAAAACGAUUUUCUAGUGGUUGGGGAUGAGCUCGCGGCCUAUCAGCUUGUUGGUGGGGUAAUGGCCUACCAAGGCGGCGACGGGUAGCCGGCCUGAGAGGGUGGACGGCCACAGUGGGACUGGGAUACGGCCCAGACUCCUACGGGAGGCAGCAGUGGGGAAUAUUGCACAAUGGGCGGAAGCCUGAUGCAGCGACGCCGCGUGGGGGAUGACGGCCUUCGGGUUGUAAACUCCUUUCGACCGCGAGGAAGCCACCUGGUUGGAAGGGUGGUGACGGUAGUGGUAGAAGAAGCACCGGCUAACUACGUG
rnacentral:rRNA from 1 species